UACGGGGGGGGCAAGCGUUGUUCGGAAUUACUGGGCGUAAAGGGCUUGUAGGUGGCCAACUAAGUCAGACGUGAAAUCCCUCGGCUUAACCGGGGAACUGCGUCUGAUACUGGAUGGCUUGAGUGUGGGAGAGGGAUGCGGAAUUCCAGGUGUAGCGGUGAAAUGCGCAGAUAUCGGGAGGAACACCGGUGGCGAAGGCGGUUCUCUGGGCCUUACCUGACGCUGAGGAGCGAAAGCGUGGGGAGCGAACAGG
rnacentral:rRNA from 1 species